UACGUAGGGUCCAAGCGUUAAUCGGAAUUACUGGGCGUAAAGCGCGUGUAGGCGGAUGCCUAAGUCUGUGGUGAAAGCGCCUGGCUUAACCGGGCGAGGUCCAUGGAAACUAGGCGUCUGGAGGCCGGUAGAGGGGGGUGGAAUUCCGGGUGUAGUGGUGAAAUGCGUAGAGAUCCGGAGGAACACCAGUGGCGAAGGCGGCCCCCUGGGCCGCGCCUGACGCUGAGACGCGAAAGCGCGGGGAGCGAACGGG
rnacentral:rRNA from 1 species